rnacentral:rRNA from 1 species
UACAGAGGUCCCAAGCGUUGUUCGGAUUCAUUGGGCGUAAAGGGUGUGUAGGUGGCGCUGUAAGUCGGGUGUGAAAUUUCGGAGCUUAACUCCGAAACUGCAUUCGAUACUGCGGUGCUUGAGGACUGGAGAGGAGACUGGAAUUCAUGGUGUAGCAGUGAAAUGCGUAGAGAUCAUGAGGAAGACCAGUGGCGAAGGCGGGUCUCUGGACAGUUCCUGACACUGAGGCACGAAGGCCAGGGGAGCAAACGGG